AAAGAGAAAUGUUAAAAGACACUCUUACAAAGAGAGUCUCUGUUAUUUCAUAUUUUUGGCAUACUGUUUUAUAAUGUUGAUAUGAAAACUUUGUUAAAAACAUGAGGCGACGGAGAGUUUAUAUAAAGUUUUACUUUUAAGCUCCUUAAUUAGCAUUUCUCGUAAAGAAAUUAUUAAUCAUGUAUCACCUAAAAAAAAAAAAAUAAGAAAAUGAUAUUUAUGAUUUUUUCCACUUGCAUAACACAAAUAUUUAUGCUUUUAAAAUGAUUAAAAGCGUUUUUAGAUUUGGUUCCAAAAACACUUAAAGUGCUUUAUGCAAGAAGCAAAAGUUAUGUGUUUUUUCCAGGAAGCACUUUUAAUGAUUUUCCAGAAUUUACUUACAUUUUUACUAAGGAUUGGUUCCAAAAACAUUUUUACCAAAAGCGCUUUUAGUCAUUUUAAAAGCACAUUCAAACGAACUCUAAAAGUGUUAUAGUAAAUCAUCUAUUACCCAAAAAAUAAGGAAAUGAUAUUUAUGAUUUCUUCUACUUACAUAACUCAAAUAAUUAAGUGUUUUCUCUGUAUGUAGAAUCUUGAAUACUUCUUGCCCCCCCUAUCAUUUGAAUCUAAGCCAUAUUUCGCUCCUCCUGUCGGCUCUAAAACCGUGGUUGUAGAUUGUUUUUUUUUUUUGGAAAUCGGUUGUAGAUUGUUUUGGUGGAAAAAGUAUUGCUUGAAGCCACAUAUAAAAAGAGAAUUUUUUUUAUAGAUGAACUAAAUAAAUUAUACAACUACUCUCCGGAAAAAAAAAAUUAUAUAACUACUAGAUUGGGGUUUUGUGUGAACAAGAAAUCAAAAUAUGCAUACAUAUAAGAUCCUUUGACAUCAUUUACUAUUUAAAAAGCUUCAUGAGGAAACAUUGAUGGUAUUUUUUAUUAUCAGAUUUUGUCUUUUCUCAACACUUAAGUUUAAAUACUAAGUUUAUAAAAAAUUGAUGUUUUAUGGCAGUGACAGCAAAUAAUUAUGUAUAUGCAUUCUUGUGCUGCUUGACCUCCAGUGUACUUCUUUCUCUUAACAACUAACAAUUUAACUCACUAAUGCUAUCAUUUGUUAAAAAAUAAUAAUAUAAGUUUGUAACUAUUUUCUCCAAAUAUGCAUAAAGGUGAGGAAAUAUUUUUGUAUUGUUUUAUUUGUUAUGUGGUUUGGUAACACUUGUUAUAAUGUUAUCAGGGUAUGCUAUUUAUACAUCAUUUUUUUACUUCUCACACACUCUUAUUAAUUAUAGUUUAUUGAUCUUUUUCAAUUCAUUCGAUGACCGAAAUCAAAAGCGUGUAAGAAGUAAAAAUAUGUGAGUGGAUAGCACCACCCUAUUAUUAUCUCUCUCUCUCUCAUGAUUCACAAUAUGGUUUUUGAGUUACAAGCAAGUCCCUCCAAGUUAUUAAGUAGUCCCUCCAAGUUCUUAAGUUGGCUUAUUUUAUUCAGUUUUUGAUACAAAUAAAGCUUCAAAUUUUAUCAAAAUAGAGAAGAAAUCAAGUGUUGAGGGAUUUUUCAGACGUACAAUACAUGAAACAUCAACCGAUCCAGGUUAUUCACGAAAACUUCUUCCCAUAAGAGUGCCUCUAAACAAUAUAUAUAUAUAUAUAUAUAUAUAUAUAUAUAUAUAUAAAACCUUUAAGGGAAGGAUCCCUAAUUUUCUUUUAUAAAAAUGGGGAUUAGUAGUGGGGUGGGAGUGCCUCUAAACAAUAAAUAAAUAAAUAUAUAUAUAUAUAUAUAUAUAUAUAUAUAUAAAACCUUUAAGGGAAGGAUCCCUAAUUUUCUUUUAUAAAAAUGUGGAUUAGUAGUGGGGUCUACACCACAUCGAACUUUAAUGAUCUGAACCAUCUAUUUUUCAAGUUGUACCUCAUAGAUCAUCAACCUACCCACUCGCUUGACUUUCUUACCUCUCCGAGAAAGGAGGUACUCGAUUGUUUUUGGGAACGUGAGUGGGGAGGACACUUUAGGAGAAGUGACCCGAUGUAUGUUGGGGGAACAACUCUAUCUACCUGAAGCUAAACAUAGAGCUUCCUAUAUUAACCAAAUCGGAAAUGUUUAGAACAUCUAAUUGGGUUCAAAGAAAUUAACAAUACUUUGUUAUAUAAAAAACAAUGAAAUUUUAUCUUGAUAAUUAAACAGGCAAAUGGUUUUGGAUUGAAAUGAAUUUUUGUAAGGAUGAUCUAUGAAUCGAUAUUUAUAAAAUAGACUGUUCGGAUUGUUGAGAUUCAUUGUGGAGUGGACCCCACACGUAAUCCCCAUUUUAAAAAAAAUAUGAGGAUCCCUUUGCAUACAGGUGUGUGUGUGUGGGGAUUCUUUUAACUAAGAGUGUCGCCUAACCAAUAUUGUAAUUUGUACAUAAAAAAAAAUAAAAAAAUAAAGUUAGCCACCAUGAAGAAAGGACAGGGAAACUGCAUGUUUCAAAUUUCAUUUAUAACUCAAAAUUUUAGCUACGUUCCUUGGAAUUCGAUUCAUUUUGCCUCUUAUAAUUCAAAAGUCAUUAUUUUACUCUUUAAAACUCAAAAUUCGUUUCACUUUACCAUGUUUCCUUUCCUUCAUUGUCAAAUUCGCUCCAUUUUAAUCUCACAUUGUCUCCUGUAAUUCAUUUUUUAUCUCACUUUACCCCCAUAAAACUAAAAAAUUGUCAAUUUAAUCCAUGAAACUCAAAAUUCGCUCCACAUUACUUUAAUAUGUUAAUUCCAUUCAAAAGCCAUCAAAUAUCCUAACAUGGAUUAAAAAAUGCAUAUGUGAAAAAAAAAGCAAGAUUCAAAGCAUUCUAAGUUUGUUUUGAACUUCUCCCUCUCUUUCUCUAAGAUUAAUUUUGCUAUCAAUAGAACUGGAACAAAUUUCAUUAUGUGAAUUUACUUUGGGUGCAACAGGCUAAUCAAUUUCUUCUUUAUUUUUCUUUUCAGAUCUCUGCAACUCAAGCACAGCAACCCACAAAAAUUUCAAUCCUUAACUUUUUCUUUUAAACUUACUAUUUUCUUACUAUUAAAUGUUAGUGUAUAGAGGAGAUUUAUAAUCAAACACAUCUACAUUAUGCAUUAACUUUCAACAAUUCAUUGUGGAGGUUUAUAAAACGAUGAUUUUGAGUUUCAGGGUGCAAAGUGGAAUCAAAAUCAAGUUUUAGAGGCAAAUUGAGAUCAUAAUCGAGUUCAUAAGCUUAUGAUAUUACAUUUUUACUCAUCCAUGUUGGCAACUUUAACGACGAUUUGACAGAAGAAAUAAAAAGAUAAUAAAGUGGGACAAAUUUAAAAUUUCAAUAAUAACUUUUAAAUUACAAAGUAUAAAAUAAAAUGAAAAUCAAAUUUUAAAUAGCGUAACUAAAAUAAGCCCAUAUUGUAAGAUAUCUGAAUGAAAAAGUGAAACCUCUCUUACGCAUGAAAUUAUCAUUUCAAUAGUGCUGGUAAUUAAAGUUUUUGACCAAUAAUGCCUAAAUAUUACCGACGCUUUAAAAUUCUAUUCUUUAAUUUCUUACAGAACUUGGAGCGCUGUACAUGCCAAAUUUGUGGGCCUGUGGUUUUGUACUUUGUGCACUCUUAUAACUUGGCGCGUUUACUAAUUCAUAAUCAAAUUGAAAGGAAUUGGAUUGAGGGGGAAUUUGAUUGAGAAUGAAUUGAAAUGAGGUGGAAUCAAAAUUUGAUUCCUGUUGAAAUUGUUUACUAAAACUGUCAGGAAUCGGAAUAGGAAUGAUGUUGAAUCCAUAUAAAUUGUUUACUAAUUCAUUUCAAUCGGAAUGAAAACUAGGUUGAUUACUAUAUUGCCCUUACAUAAAUAAAUUAUUUUCAUACUAAUUAAUUAAAUUAAAUUCUUAAUUAAAUUUAUAUAAUAAAAUUCAUCUAUAUAAGCAUGUAUAAAUAGGUUUUAUUUAUUUAUUAAAAGAUGGCAAGAAUGAUGUUGAGUUCAUAUAAUUUGUUUACUAAUUCACUUCAAUCGGAAUGAUAACUAAGUUGAUGACUAAAUUAACCUUACAUAAAUAAAUUA
rnacentral:lncRNA from 1 species